GAUAAACGCUGGCGGCGUGCCUAACACAUGCAAGUCGAACGCGCUUUCUCGCAUGCUUCGUUAAGAAGCGAGCAAGAGAGCGCGUGGCGGACGGGUGAGUAACACAUGGGUCACCUACCUUUCAGUGAGGAAUACCGACGAGAAAUCGUCGACAAUACCGCAUAUGCUCUUUAUUGAGAGCAAAGUCCUUUCGCAAGAAGGGACGCUGGAAGAUGGGCCUGUGGCCGAUUAGCUGGUUGGGAGGGUAAUGGCCUACCAAGGCGACGAUCGGUAGCUG
rnacentral:rRNA from 1 species